rnacentral:lncRNA from 1 species
UGAAUUCGUGGUUUUAGGAAGAGGGUUCGCUUGAAGCCGUUCAAACGUCCGGCCUCUACGGGUAUCCACACGAAGCAGGAUCCAAUCCAAGCUCUCUAUCUCACCGGGGUGCUAGCUCCCUUGCAGAGAUAGCUUUGAUGGCUGAUGUCCUCUCUUUCAAUCAACUCUUGAUUGCACUUGAGAGGAGGAAGAAGAAGGAUGAAGAAGAGG